CUUUUUAUUUUGGAAUAGAGAGGCAAACAACUUAUUUCUUUCUGGUUUCUAGGGUUCCUCUUCUGUUUCUCUCAACUUUUCAUCUCAAACUUUCCAUAUUUUACAAAUCUUUCACUUCUUGAGCUAAAAUCAUAAAUUAGUGAACGUUUAUUAGGAGUGAAGGAGAGCAAUUAAUCACACUUCUACAUCCAUAUUUUGCAAAGGGAUAUAUCCAGAUGCCUACUCU
rnacentral:misc_RNA from 1 species